GUCUGUGGCCAUACCACCCUGAACAUGCCUGAUCUUGUCUGGUCUCAGAAGCUAAGCAGGGUCUGGCCUGGUUAGUUCUGGGACAGGAGAAACAGAGUGGUUAAGACC
rnacentral:rRNA from 1 species